rnacentral:rRNA from 1 species
UACCUGGCUCAGGAUGAACGCUAGCGGCAGGCUUAACACAUGCAAGUCGAGGGGUAUAGUUCUUCGGAGCUAGAGACCGGCGCACGGGUGCGUAACGCGUAUGCAAUCUACCUUUCACAGAGGGAUAGCCCAGAGAAAUUUGGAUUAAUACCUCAUAGUAUAUAGACCUGGCAUCAGGAUUAUAUUAAAGUCACAACGGUGAAAGAUGAGCAUGCGUCCCAUUAGCUAGUUGGUAAGGUAACGGCUUACCAAGGCUACGAUGGGUAGGGGUCCUGAGAGGGAGAUCCCCCACACUGGUACUGAGACACGGACCAGACUCCUACGGGAGGCAGCAGUGAGGAAUAUUGGACAAUGGGCGCAAGCCUGAUCCAGCCAUGCCGCGUGCAGGAUGACGGUCCUAUGGAUUGUAAACUGCUUUUAUACGAGAAGAAACAACAUUACGUGUAAUGUCUUGACGGUAUCGUAAGAAUAAGGAUCGGCUAACUCCGUG